rnacentral:rRNA from 1 species
UACGUAGGGGUGCGAGCGUUGUCCGGAAUUAUUGGGCGUAAAGGGCUCGUAGGCGGUUUGUCGCGUCGGGAGUGAAAACCCAGGGCUUAACCCUGGGCUGGCUUUCGAUACGGGCAGACUAGAGGUAUGCAGGGGAGAACGGAAUUCCUGGUGUAGCGGUGAAAUGCGCAGAUAUCAGGAGGAACACCGGGUGGCGAAGGCGGGUCUCUGGGCAUUAACUGACGCUGAGGAGCGAAAGCAUGGGGAGCGAACAGG